UAGGGAAUUUUCGGCAAUGGGGGAAACCCUGACCGAGCAACGCCGCGUGAAGGAAGAAGGUUUUCGGAUUGUAAACUUCUGUUAUAAAGGAAGAACGGCGGCUACAGGAAAUGGUAGCCGAGUGACGGUACUUUAUUAGAAAGCCACGGCUAACUACGUGCCAGCAGCCGCGGUAAUACGUAGGUGGCAAGCGUUAUCCGGAAUUAUUGGGCGUAAAGAGGGAGCAGGCGGCAGCAAGGGUCUGUGGUGAAAGCCUGAAGCUUAACUUCAGUAAGCCAUAGAAACCAGGCAGCUAGAGUGCAGGAGAGGAUCGUGGAAUUCCAUGUGUAGCGGUGAAAUGCGUAGAUAUAUGGAGGAACACCAGUGGCGAAGGCGACGAUCUGGCCUGCAACUGACGCUCAGUCCCGAAAGCGUGGGGAGCAAAUAGGAUUAGAUACCCUGGUAGU
rnacentral:rRNA from 1 species